GCGGAAAGACUCUGAAACUCAGAGGCAGAGCGAGUUUUAAAGUAGGGGUCUCAGGGAUGAAGGAAGGAGUCUUCCUCUCGAGAUGAACUUUUGACCCUGCCGCCUUGCGCAUGCUCACUGGUUCUCUGGUCAUAGUUCAAGCUGUAAGGGCUGGGCCAGGAUCUUGGGGGUUUCUGGCUGCUGCGGGGCUACUGUGCACGGUUGCAGAGAAGCGGCUAGGAUCCCAAUAGCUGUGUGCCCGUGGCUAGGGUUCUUCCCC